AACCUUAUCAGUCUUCUGAUCUCCUUACUAUCACCUGGGAGAAAUCCCACCCCGGCUACCCCCUCUGGCUCUUGGCCCUGCCUUAGGGCUUGGAAGGUUUCUAGAACCUCAAUAAAUUUCCUGAAUUUUCUUGCCUUUUCAACCCACUUAUUGCUCACUCCCUCAGUCCUGUUACCAAAUACCUUGGCUUAAAGACAUAGCUGCCAGAACAGGUGAGUAUAAAACACCUUUUCUCUUUUCCCUUUACCCCUUAAGUUAAAUUGGGGUCAACAGGAUUUUUUUUCUUCUCUUUUUUUUUGUCUCUCAUUUCCAUCUCCUUUUACUUUAAGGAGGUGGCUCAGUAGAUUAUAAGGCAGGCCAGACUUAGCUAAUCAACUGAUCAACAACGAGGAACCUCAGGAGAGGAAGCUCUUAGGAGCUCCUAACCUGCAAAAAUCAGCUGAAUACAGCUAGGGAGCUAACUUAAAAACCAUUUUUUUUUCUGUUUCCUGGCCUUUCUAGUCUUAAAAAUUUAAGUGGGCUUUGCUGAAGGAAGAUAGCACAUGAUCCUAGCAGUUUUAGCCUGAGGUCUAAAGAAGAUUGCUGAGACCCACCCAUAUACAAUUUACAAUACAAUAGGCCCUUAGCUUGUAUAGGGGUUGUAGACUAGGGAGCCACCUACUGCAAAAAAAAAAAAAAGCCUGUGGAAAGUUUGUUGCUUUGCCUUGCUCCCCACGUGUUUUGUGAAAUUACAAAAUAUACAUAUAAAAAUGAGUACUAUAUCCUUUGACAAUUAUAAGGCAGCUGAAGAAGUAGGGGCAUUGAGGAAUGAAGGAUACCUCCAAAUUUUUAUAUUAAUAGGUACUGUCAUUUUUGUACUCCUCAAUACUAUAUUUAGAGAUGAAAAAAUAAAAAAAAUUGAGGAGAAAAUAAAACAAAAUGAGGAGAAAAUAAAACAAAAUGAGGAGGAAAUAAAGCAAAAUGAGGAUAAAAUAGAAAAUAUUGAGGAUAAAAUAGGAAAUAUUGAGAAUAAAAUAGGAAAUAUUGAGGAUAAAAUGGGAAAUAUGGAAGAUAAAAUAGGAAAAAUUGAGGAUAAAAUGCAAGCCCAAUUAGAUCUAAAAAGUUUCUUACAGGAUCAAUUGACAAACAACCACUCUACCAAAAAUAGACCUGUUUCUGAACCUUUGAAUGAGGAAAUUUCCUUCCCUGAAAUAGAGAUGGAAAAUACCUUUCCUAUAGCCAAGUUAACAGACUGCUUCUCUCGUGUAGUGCAAAUCUUGUCUGAAUUUAAUCCCCAAAACCCUUCCCCGGCAAUCCCAGAUUCUCAUGUUCCUUCUCCUACAGAAAACCAAAUUCCACUGCAAGAGAGAUCUUGUCCCCCUAGAAAAACCUGUCCUUGUCAAACUGACCCACAGGUGCAAAAUCCAACUAGAGGCCUGUUUCCUCUAAGAGAAGUACCUGAAAUAGGACGAAAUGGGGAUGUGGUGACUUUAAGACAUAGGAUACCAUUUACUCCCCAAGAAAUAAAUGAAUUUACACGAAAUAUUCCCACAUAUGAACAAGAUCCUUUUCUAGUAACAAAAAAGAUGGGAGACAUAUUUUUUCAGUAUAAUCCGUCUUACAAGGACGUUGAGAGCUUACUCCAGGCUUUUUUAAGUGAACGUGAAAAAAAUAAAAUAAUUGCUCAUGUCAACAAAACCCGGGGGCGUAAUGCAGCACAUUGGCCAUCUCAGGAUCCCGAAUGGGACUAUAACAAUCCUGAGGAUUAUCUACAACUAUACCGUUGUAGAGAGGCCAUCCUCACGUCCAUGAAGGAAUGUGUGGACAGUACAGAUAAGUGGAUGGAACUGGAAAAAAUUAAGCAAAAGGAAAACGAAACACCCUCCAGAUUUAUGGACAGAAUUAUCGAGUUUGGGGACAGAUACUUAGAUUGGGACUUAACUAAAGAGAGUAGUAUAAGACAAGUUAGAAGAAUCUUUGUAAACAAUUCUUGCAAAGUAAUUAAGAAUUAUUUUAAAACACAAUGCCCAAGAUGGUCAGAUAUGGACCUUGAAGAAUUGCGAAAAACAGCUAUAUAUGUUUUAAAGGGAAACGAAGAAAAGGAGAAAGAAAAUGAUGAUGACAUGGAGGAAAUGAAGAAAAAAAUGAGAUAUUUAAUAGAUAGGAUAACUAAAUUAGAAAGUGGGCAGGGUAAUGAACCAACGACAAUUGCCCCUCUCCAGAAAUCCAAUUAUCAAUCCAUUACUUGCCACUUCUGUGAGAAGAAGGGCCACAAAAUGAUGGAAUGUAGAAUCUUUCUUAAGAUGAUUGGAAGAAAUACACAGUCUAAUAAUAGCUUUAGAAAUAAUAACUAUAAUGAAUAUAGAAAUAAGAACUUUAGAAACCAG
ensembl:lncRNA